UACAGAGGGGGCAAGCGUUGUUCGGAAUUACUGGGCGUAAAGGGCGCGUAGGCGGCCUUCUAAGUCGAACGUGAAAUCCCCGGGCUCAACCCGGGAACUGCGUCCGAUACUGGAAGGCUUGAAUCCGGGAGAGGGAUGUGGAAUUCCAGGUGUAGCGGUGAAAUGCGUAGAUAUCUGGAGGAACACCUGAGGUGAAGACGGGUUGCUGGGCUGACACUGACGCUGAGGCGCGAAAGCCAGGGGAGCAAACGGG
rnacentral:rRNA from 1 species